rnacentral:rRNA from 1 species
UGGGGAAUUUUGGACAAUGGGCGAAAGCCUGAUCCAGCAAUGCCGCGUGUGUGAAGAAGGCCUUCGGGUUGUAAAGCACUUUUGUCCGGAAAGAAAUCCUUGGCUCUAAUACAGUCGGGGGAUGACGGUACCGGAAGAAUAAGCACCGGCUAACUACGUGCCAGCAGCCGCGGUAAUACGUAGGGUGCAAGCGUUAAUCGAAAUUACUGGGCGUAAAGCGUGCGCAGGCGGUUUGCUAAGACCGAUGUGAAAUCCCCGGGCUCAACCUGGGAACUGCAUUGGUGACUGGCAGGCUAGAGUAUGGCAGAGGGGGGUAGAAUUCCACGUGUAGCAGUGAAAUGCGUAGAGAUGUGGAGGAAUACCGAUUGCGAAGGCAGCCCCCUGGGCCAAUACUGACGCUCAUGCACGAAAGCGUGGGGAGCAAACAGGAUUAGAUACCCUGGUAGUCCACGCCCUAAAACGAUGUCAACUAGUUGUUGGGGAUUCAUUUCCUUAGUAACGUAGCUAACGCGUGAGGUUGACCGCCUGGGGAGUACGGUCGCAAGAUUAAAACUUAAAGGAAUUGACGGGGUCAUAGCUGUUUCCU